rnacentral:lncRNA from 1 species
GGUAAGAUCUUUUUUCAUUUUUCUAUUUCUUUUUUGCUUCAUUUCCUCUUCGUUUCAUUCUUUCUUUGGAGACUCCUAAGGAUGAAAAAAUAGAGGACAAAUCAAGGGAAAACAUAGGAAAAAUCAAUGAUAAUGAAGGAAAGAUGAAAAAAGUUAAAAGAUAAGACCUUGUCCCAUUUUCUUUUUCCUUUUUUGCUUCAUUUUCUCUUCAUUUCAUUCUUUUUUUUGGAGAUUAAUGGGGAAGGAGAGCACCUCAAGAGAUCGAAGCAAUUUUCCCACAUAGAAUGAUUAUUUUCUCUUUCCGCUUUGUUGUCUUUUCAUUUCAUUCUCUUUUUAAGAGAUCGCCGGCGGGGGGAGAGCACCUAAGGGAGAUCAAGAGAUUUCCUAUAUUUUAGUUUGGGUUUUCUUCUCAAACAUGUCAGAUUUUAUGCAAGUUCUGACAGUGUGAGUUGGUCCUGAGGGAGAUCGAGGGAUUUCCUAGGUUUUAAUUUGGGUAUUCUUCUCAAACAUAUCGGAUUUCAUGCUGAGUUCUAAUAGUAUGAGUUGGUCCUUCAAGGAUUUGAGAGCUUAAUCUUGGAAGAAGCGGUAGGGUUUGGGAAUUUAUAAUCAAAAGCAUCUUUGUUGGCUAUAAAAUUUUCAAUUCAAGAUGUUCUGCUCUCAUGAUAAUAUGAAUAUGAUACCAAACAUCCGAUUGGACCCAAUCCGAUCCAACCCAACCUAACCUGCAUCAUUUCUUUUAUCCGAUCUGAGACAGGCACAAGAUAGAUAUGAUUGGGAUGGAUAUAGAUAUUGAUCGACCCAAUCCAUAUCCUAUCCAUUGCCAUCUUUUUAAAUACCACAAGUCUUAGGUUAGGACACCAUGUUACUUUUAUUCAGUAGCAUUGUACAUGUACUACAAUGUCUUAUUUUGAAUACCUUACCCGCAUAUAAUUUUGUAAAGACCCCCAGAAAUUGAAGAA